rnacentral:rRNA from 1 species
CUACGGGGGGCUCCAGUGGGGAAUAUUGGACAAUGGGGGAAACCCUGAUCCAGCAAUGCCGCGUGUGUGAAGAAGGCCUGCGGGUUGUAAAGCACUUUCGGUUGGGAGGACUGCUUCUAGCACUAAUAUUGUUGGAAGUUGACGUUACCUUCAGAAGAAGCACCGGCUAACUCCGUGCCAGCAGCCGCGGUAAUACGGAGGGUGCAAGCGUGAAUUGGAAUUACUGGGCGUAAAGCGCGCGUAGGCGGCUAGAUCAGUCGGGUGUGAAAGCCCCGGGCUUAACCUGGGAACUGCAUCCGAUACUGUCUAGCUUGAGUACAGGAGAGGAGAGUGGAAUUCCACAUGUAGCUGUGAAAUGCGUAGAUAUGUGGAGGAACACCAAUGGCGAAGGCAGCUCUCUGGCCUGAUACUGACGCUGAGGUGCGAAAGCGUGGGGAGCAAACAGGAUUAGAUACCCUCGUAGUC